UACAGAGGUGGCAAGCGUUGUUCGGAAUUACUGGGCGUAAAGGGCGCGUAGGCGGUCUUGUCAGUCCCUUGUGAAAUCCCCCGGCUCAACUGGGGAACUGCACGGGAAACAGCAGGGCUUGAGUUCGGGAGAGGGAAGCGGAAUUCCGGGUGUAGCGGUGAAAUGCGUAGAUAUCCGGAGGAACACCGGUGGCGAAGGCGGCUUCCUGGACCGAUACUGACGCUGAGGCGCGAAAGCGUGGGGAGCAAACAGG
rnacentral:rRNA from 1 species